rnacentral:rRNA from 1 species
AUUCGCAUUAAGCCAUGCGAGUCGAGAGGGUUCGGCCCUCGGCUGACGGCUCAGUAACACGUGGAUAACCUGCCCUCAGGUAGGGGAUAAUCUCGGGAAACUGAGGAUAAUACCCUAUAUACAUCCUUUGCUGGAACGCUUGGAUGUUCAAAGGCAACGCCUGAGGAUGGGUCUGCGGCCUAUCAGGUUGUAGUGGGUGUAACGGACCCACUAGCCAGCGACGGGUACGGGCCUUGAAAGAGGUAGCCCGGAGAUGGACUCUGAGACACGAGUCCAGGCCCUACGGGGCGCAGCAGGCGCGAAAACUUCGCAAUGCGGGAAACCGUGACGAGGGAAUCCCGAGUGCUCAUACAAUGUAUGGGCUUUUCUUAUGUGUAGAUAGCAUGAGGAAUAAGGGCUGGGUAAGACCGGUGCCAGCCGCCGCGGUAAUACCGGCAGCUCUAGUGGUGGCCACUUUUAUUGGGCCUAAAGCGUCCGUAGCCGGUCAGGUAAAUCCUUGGGUAAAUCGUACAGCUCAACUGUGCGGCUUCCGGGGAGACUGCCUGACUUGGGACCGGGAGAGGUUGGAGGUACUCCUGGGGUAGGGGUGAAAUCCUGUAAUCCUAUGUGGACCACCGGUGGCGAAGGCGUCCAACCAGAACGGCUCCGACGGUGAGGGACGAAGGCUAGGGGCGCAAACCGGAUUAGAUACCCGGGUAGUCCUAGCUGUAAACGCUGCAGACUUGGUGUUGGAGAUCCCACGAGGGUGUCCAGUGCCGGAGAGAAGUUGUUAAGCUUGCCGCCUGGGAAGUAUGGCCGCAAGGCUGAAACUUAAAGGAAUUGGCGGGGGAGCACCGCAACGGGAGGAGCGUGCGGUUUAAUUGGAUUCAACGUCGGAAAACUCACCGGGGGCGACUGUUACAUGAAGGCCAGUUUAAAGACUUUGCCUAAUUUUCAGAGAGGUGGUGCAUGGCCGUCGUCAGUUCGUACCGCAAGGCGUUCUGUUAAGUCA